rnacentral:rRNA from 1 species
GACGAACGCUGGCGGCGUGCUUAACACAUGCAAGUCGAGCGGUAGGGCCCUUUCGGGGGUACGACGAGCGGCGAACGGGUGAGUAACACGUGGGUGACCUGCCCUCAGCUCUGGGAUAAGCCUGGGAAACCGGGUCUAAUACUGGAUAUGACUCCAUGACGCAUGUUGUGGGGUGGAAAGCCUUGUGCGGCUGAGGAUGGGCCCGCGGCCUAUCAGCUUGUUGGUGGGGUGAGGCCUACCAAGGCGACGACGGGUAGCCGGCCUGAGAGGGCGACCGGCCACACUGGGACUGAGACACGGCCCAGACUCCUACGGGAGGCAGCAGU